UACGUAGGUGGCAAGCGUUGUCCGGAUUUACUGGGCGUAAAGGGCGUGCAGGCGGUUUGUCUAGUCUAGGGUGAAAGCUCCCGGCUUAACUGGGAGAGGUCCUUGGAUACUGGCAAACUUGAGGGAGGCAGAGGAAAGUGGAAUUCCCGGUGUAGUGGUGAUAUGCGUAGAUAUCGGGAGGAACACCGGUGGCGAAGGCGGCCUUCUGGACAGUGACUGACGCUGAGACGCGAAAGCGUGGGGAGCAAACAGG
rnacentral:rRNA from 1 species